AUUGAACGCUGGCGGCAGGCUUAACACAUGCAAGUCGAGCGGAGAUGAGGUGCUUGCACCUUAUCUUAGCGGCGGACGGGUGAGUAAUGCUUAGGAAUCUGCCUAUUAGUGGGGGACGACAUUCCGAAAGGAAUGCUAAUACCGCAUACGCCCUACGGGGGAAAGAAGGGGAUCUUCGGACCUUGCGCUAAUAGAUGAGCCUAAGUCGGAUUAGCUAGUUGGUGGGGUAAAGGCCUACCAAGGCGACGAUCUGUAGCGGGUCUGAGAGGAUGAUCCGCCACACUGGGACUGAGACACGGCCCAGACUCCUACGGGAGGCAGCAGUGGGGAAUAUUGGACAAUGGGCGGAAGCCUGAUCCAGCCAUGCCGCGUGUGUGAAGAAGGCCUUUUGGUUGUAAAGCACUUUAAGCGAGGAGGAGGCUACCUGGAUUAAUACUCUAGGAUAGUGGACGUUACUCGCAGAAUAAGCACCGGCUAACUCUGUGCCAGCAGCCGCGGUAACAC
rnacentral:rRNA from 1 species